rnacentral:rRNA from 1 species
GAUGAACGCUGGCGGCGUGCCUAAUACAUGCAAGUCGAGCGAACGGACGAGAAGCUUGCUUCUCUGAUGUUAGCGGCGGACGGGUGAGUAACACGUGGAUAACCUACCUAUAAGACUGGGAUAACUUCGGGAAACCGUAGCUAAUACCGGAUAAUAUUUUGAACCGCAUGGUUCAAAAGUGAAAGACGGUCUUGCUGUCACUUAUAGAUGGAUCCGCGCUGCAUUAGCUAGUUGGUAAGGUAACGGCUUACCAAGGCAACGAUGCAUAGCCGACCUGAGAGGGUGGUCGGCCACACUGGAACUGAGCCACGGUCCAGACUCCUACGGGAGGCAGCAGUAGGGAAUCUUCCGCAAUGGGCGAAAGCCUGACGGAGCAACGCCGCGUGAGUGAUGAAGGUCUUCGGAUCGUAAAACUCUGUUAUUAGGGAAGAACAUAUGUGUAAGUAUCUGUGCACAUCUUGACGGUACCUAAUCAGAAAGCCCCGGCUAACUACGUG